AUUGAACGCUGGCGGCACGCCUAACACAUGCAAGUCGAGCGGCAGCGAGGUUAGUAGCAAUACUAACUGUCGGCGAGCGGCGGACGGGUGAGGAACACGUAGGAACCUGUCCUUAAGAGGGGGACAACCAAGGGAAACUUUGGCUAAUACCGCAUAGACUCGAAAGAGGAAAGCUGCUCGCAAGGGUGGCACUUAAGGAGGGGCCUGCGUCCGAUUAGCUAGUUGGUAAGGUAAAGGCUUACCAAGGCGAUGAUCGGUAACUGGUCUGGGAGGACGACCAGUCACACUGGGACUGGGACACGGGCCAGACUACUACGGGAGGCAGCAGUGGGGAAUAUUGGACAAUGGGGGCAACCCUGAUCCAGCGAUGCCGCGUGGGUGAAGGAGGCCUUCGGGUUGUAAAGCACUUUAGAUUGGGAAGAAGGUAAGUUGUUUAAGAGAUGAUUUGCUUGACUGUACCAAUAGAAUAAGCACCGGCUAACUCUGUGCCAGCCGCCGCAGUAA
rnacentral:rRNA from 1 species